rnacentral:lncRNA from 1 species
CAACCGUAUAUCGGUAGCUGUCACCCAUUGCAUGGUUAUUGGUACUACAACCCUAAUACAUAUUCCUGUAUAGCAGUGCCACCAGGCACUUGCGCCUCUGGCAGAAAUUUGUUCCCCACACUCAGUGUGUGUGAGAAAACCUGUAUUCGAAAGCACAGACCAUUGUGCAGCUUGCAGCCAAAGCCUGGAAAGUGCCUGGUUGUCAAACUACGCUGGUACUUUGACGACUCCAGUAACAGCUGUCGCGAAUUCGCAAAUGAUCGUUGUGGCACAAAUGACAAUGCAUUUGUAUCGAUGCGAAAAUGUAUGGAAAGAUGCAGCUAUAUGAAAGCUGCGACGGGAUCCAUAACUAUCCAGCACACUACACAGAAUCAGCGGCCAACACAGAAUAAAACUGGCGAAUCUGGCCUCGCAAACCUCAUACUUACUUCAUGAUUCGUAAGCUUGGAAAGCUUGUGCGAAUCAGAAAACUUGUCUGGAAGAACCGGAUUCUUAGAAUGUAUGACUGCAAGACUGUCCCCAAUAUAAAAAGCUUUCAUUU